CAGGGAAUAANNNNGUUGCGAACAAGCUGAANGUACUGAAGAAUAAGCAUCGNUAACUCCGUGCCAGCANCGCGGUAAUACGGAGGAUGCAAGCGUUAUCCGGAUUCAUUGGGUUUAAAGGGUGCGCAGGCGGACUGAUAAGUCAGUGUGAAAUCUACGGCUCAACCGUGGCACUGCCAUUGAUACUGUCAGUCUUGAGUAUAGUUGAAGUGGGCGGAAUGUAGCAUGUAGCGGUGAAAUGCAUAGAUAUGCUACAGAACACCAAUAGCGAAGGCAGCUCACUAAGUAUAACUGACGCUCAUGCACGAAAGCGUGGGGAUCAAACAGGAUUAGAUACCCUGGUAGUCCACGCUGUAAACGAUGAUCACUCGUUGUUGGCAAUACAUCGUCAGCGACUAAGCGAAAGUGAUAAGUGAUCCACCUGGGGAGUACGGUCGCAAGAUUGAAACUCAAAGGAAUUGACGGGGGCCCGCACAAGCGGUGGAGCAUGUGGUUUAAUUCGAUGAUACGCGAGGAACCUUACCUGGGCUCAAACGCAUGAUGACGUAUGGUGAAAGCUAUAUUUCUUCGGACAUUAUGCGAGGUGCUGCAUGGUUGUCGUCAGCUCGUGCCGUGAGGUGUCGGGUUAAGUCCCAUAACGAGCGCAACCCCUAUCAUUAGUUGCCAUCAGGUCAAGCUGGGGACUCUAAUGAAACUGCCUACGCAAGUAGUGAGGAAGGCGGGGAUGACGUCAAAUCAGCACGGCCCUUACGUCCAGGGCUACACACGUGCUACAAUGGCCAGUACAAAGGGCAGCUACCUGGUGACAGGAUGCUAAUCUCAAAAGCUGGUCUCAGUUCGGAUCGAAGUCUGCAACCCGACUUCGUGAAGCUGGAAUCGCUAGUAAUCGCGCAUCAGCCAUGGCGCGGUGAAUACGUUCCCGGGCCUUGUACACACCGCCCGUCAAGCCAUGGAAGCUGGGGGUACCUGAAGUCGGUGAUCCAUUCGUGGAAGCUGCCUAGGGUAAACUUAGUAACUGGGGCUAAGUCGUAACAAGGUAGC
rnacentral:rRNA from 1 species